rnacentral:rRNA from 1 species
AGAGUUUGAUCCUGGCUCAGGACGAACGCUGGCGGCGUGCCUAACACAUGCAAGUCGAACGGAACUGUUUUGAAAGAUUUCUUCGGAAUGAAUUUGAUUUAGUUUAGUGGCGGACGGGUGAGUAACGCGUGAGUAACCUGCCUUCAAGAGGGGGAUAACAUUCUGAAAAGAAUGCUAAUACCGCAUGACAUAUCGGAACCACAUGGUUUUGAUAUCAAAGAUUUUAUCGCUUGAAGAUGGACUCGCGUCCGAUUAGUUAGUUGGUGAGGUAACGGCUCACCAAGACCGCGAUCGGUAGCCGGACUGAGAGGUUGAACGGCCACAUUGGGACUGAGACACGGCCCAGACUCCUACGGGAGGCAGCAGUGGGGGAUAUUGCGCAAUGGGGGCAACCCUGACGCAGCAACGCCGCGUGAAGGAUGAAGGUUUUCGGAUUGUAAACUUCUUUUAUUAAGGACGAAAAAUGACGGUACUUAAUGAAUAAGCUCCGGCUAACUACGUGCCAGCAGCCGCGGUAAUACGUAGGGAGCAAGCGUUGUCCGGAUUUACUGGGUGUAAAGGGUGCGUAGGCGGCUUUGCAAGUCAGAUGUGAAAUCUAUGGGCUCAACCCAUAAACUGCAUUUGAAACUGUAGAGCUUGAGUGAAGUAGAGGCAGGCGGAAUUCCCCGUGUAGCGGUGAAAUGCGUAGAGAUGGGGAGGAACACCAGUGGCGAAGGCGGCCUGCUGGGCUUUAACUGACGCUGAGGCACGAAAGCGUGGGUAGCAAACAGGAUUAGAUACCCUGGUAGUCCACGCUGUAAACGAUGAUUACUAGGUGUGGGGGGUCUGACCCCUUCCG